rnacentral:lncRNA from 1 species
GGCGCACAAAUUGAAGGUGAUGUGAGCUCCUAUUUGCACAUGGAAAGGAAGAGAUUUAAUCACAUGAGACUUUUAUUUAAAUUACUAUUUUAAAUCUAAUUAAUAUAUUAAUUAAUCCUAAUCAUAUUAAGACCAGAUUAGACUCAAAUAAAUAAAAAUUUAAAUCUGAGUUGGAGCCCAAUUAAUUUAGAUUGGAUGUCUCUUAAUUGGAGGAGU